rnacentral:rRNA from 1 species
CCUACGGGGGGCAGCAGUGGGGAAUUUUGGACAAUGGGCGAAAGCCUGAUCCAGCAAUGCCGCGUGAGUGAAGAAGGCCUUCGGGUUGUAAAGCUCUUUUGUGGAACGUACGGUACCUGAAGAAUAAGCACCGGCUAACUACGUGCCAGCAGCCGCGGUAAUACGUAGGGUGCAAGCGUUAAUCGGAAUUACUGGGCGUAAAGCGUGCGCAGGCGGUUUUGUAAGUCUGAUGUGAAAUCCCCGGGCUCAACCUGGGAAUUGCAUUGGAGACUGCAAGGCUAGAAUCUGGCAGAGGGGGGUAGAAUUCCACGUGUAGCAGUGAAAUGCGUAGAUAUGUGGAGGAACACCGAUGGCGAAGGCAGCCCCCUGGGUCAGUUGACGCUCAUGCACGAAAGCGUGGGGAGCAAACAGGAUUAGAUACCCUUGUAGUC